AGGUGAUCCAACCGCAGGUUCCCCUACGGUUACCUUGUUACGACUUCACCCCAGUCAUGAAUCACAAAGUGGUAAGCGCCCUCCCGAAGGUUAAGCUACCUACUUCUUUUGCAACCCACUCCCAUGGUGUGACGGGCGGUGUGUACAAGGCCCGGGAACGUAUUCACCGUGGCAUUCUGAUCCACGAUUACUAGCGAUUCCGACUUCAUGGAGUCGAGUUGCAGACUCCAAUCCGGACUACGACGCACUUUAUGAGGUCCGCUUGCUCUCGCGAGGUCGCUUCUCUUUGUAUGCGCCAUUGUAGCACGUGUGUAGCCCUGGUCGUAAGGGCCAUGAUGACUUGACGUCAUCCCCACCUUCCUCCAGUUUAUCACUGGCAGUCUCCUUUGAGUUCCCGGCCGGACCGCUGGCAACAAAGGAUAAGGGUUGCGCUCGUUGCGGGACUUAACCCAACAUUUCACAACACGAGCUGACGACAGCCAUGCAGCACCUGUCUCACGGUUCCCGAAGGCACAUUCUCAUCUCUGAAAACUUCCGUGGAUGUCAAGACCAGGUAAGGUUCUUCGCGUUGCAUCGAAUUAAACCACAUGCUCCACCGCUUGUGCGGGCCCCCGUCAAUUCAUUUGAGUUUUAACCUUGCGGCCGUACUCCCCAGGCGGUCGACUUAACGCGUUAGCUCCGGAAGCCACGCCUCAAGGGCACAACCUCCAAGUCGACAUCGUUUACGGCGUGGACUACCAGGGUAUCUAAUCCUGUUUGCUCCCCACGCUUUCGCACCUGAGCGUCAGUCUUCGUCCAGGGGGCCGCCUUCGCCACCGGUAUUCCUCCAGAUCUCUACGCAUUUCACCGCUACACCUGGAAUUCUACCCCCCUCUACGAGACUCAAGCUUGCCAGUAUCAGAUGCAGUUCCCAGGUUGAGCCCGGGGAUUUCACAUCUGACUUAACAAACCGCCUGCGUGCGCUUUACGCCCAGUAAUUCCGAUUAACGCUUGCACCCUCCGUAUUACCGCGGCUGCUGGCACGGAGUUAGCCGGUGCUUCUUCUGCGGGUAACGUCAAUGAGCAAAGGUAUUAACUUUACUCCCUUCCUCCCCGCUGAAAGUACUUUACAACCCGAAGGCCUUCUUCAUACACGCGGCAUGGCUGCAUCAGGCUUGCGCCCAUUGUGCAAUAUUCCCCACUGCUGCCUCCCGUAGGAGUCUGGACCGUGUCUCAGUUCCAGUGUGGCUGGUCAUCCUCUCAGACCAGCUAGGGAUCGUCGCCUUGGUGAGCCGUUACCCCACCAACAAGCUAAUCCCAUCUGGGCACAUCCGAUGGCAAGAGGCCCGAAGGUCCCCCUCUUUGGUCUUGCGACGUUAUGCGGUAUUAGCUACCGUUUCCAGUAGUUAUCCCCCUCCAUCAGGCAGUUUCCCAGACAUUACUCACCCGUCCGCCACUCGUCAGCAAAGAAGCAAGCUUCUUCCUGUUACCGUUCGACUUGCAUGUGUUAGGCCUGCCGCCAGCGUUCAAUCUGAGCCAUGAUCAAACUCU
rnacentral:rRNA from 1 species